rnacentral:lncRNA from 1 species
AGGGACCCCUGGCAGACGCACUGCACGGGCGCGCCGCGCUGACCUCCGCCCGCCCUGCACGCAGAUUAACAAAGGCGACAGCGAGCCCCAGUCCGAAAGCAGAAAGCCGGCCGCGGGGUCCGGAGCCUGCGCCCGGUCAGUCGGGGAGAGAGCCGCGCGGGCUGCUCUGAAGUCGCAGGAUACAGCCGGAGCUGCCAGAUCUCUCUCAAGCGGCGCUGCUGGGACGCUGGCCGCACCAUGGGCUGCUGCACCGGGCGCUGCUCGCUGGUCUGUCUCUGCGCACUGCAGCUGGUAAGUGCCCAGUGCGUCCGGGUCUGGAAACAGCCCGCUUUUCGGACUGGCUUGUAGGGCUCUGUCCCUGGAUCCGAAGCUCCCGGCUAAAGACCGGUGAGCCGGCAGAGCGCAUCAGAGGGAUCCCCCACCCUCUCUGUCCCUUCCAGGUUAUCUGUGCCUCCCGCCUGGUAGCUCUUGCCCGCAGGAGGGCGCGGUCUCACUUCUGGUCCCACGCGCUUGGGUUCACUGCGCCCCCACCCGGCAUCGCCACGCGGUCGGGGGCAGCUGGGGUGGCGUUCCAGGAGAGAGCAUUUUCCCCGCCCCUCUCUUGGACACCUAGCGUGUGCAUCCUCUGCAAUUCUGCUUAAGUUAUGCCUGGGUUUGGAGCUUGCUCUUAUUGGGACGGUUUUCUGGAGAUAGGUUCUUGUUUGGUUAGAAGGUGCUUGAGGGCAGCUAGUUACUGAGAGAGCUACAAUCUCACCUCUCUUUCAGUAUCUGGAAGGCGAUCGUAGAGGAGUGGAGUACUCCAGGAACAUGUGGUUGUGCUUGGGAACCACAAGUUCAGCCUCUGCCUUUUCAGUUCCUCUUUUGAUUUUCUUGAAAUGCUGCGUGCUCAGGAUGCGACGGACUGACAGCUGUCUUUGGGGAGUGAACAGAGCAAAGAAGGGAACCCGGCUUCUGUUUGGCUUGGCCCCUUGCCCAGGGAGUGAGUGGAAUAGGAAGUUGGAAAUCAGGGUGCAAAGAUAAAAGACCUUUCUGAUUCUAUGCAAAUACUCUGGGUCCUAUUGUCAUUAGGAUUGAUUCUGUGGUCUGUUUCGUGGUUACCAGAAGUCAAGGCUGCAAUCUCCUGUGCUAGACUUUUGUGAGUGAGAUUCAUAGUCUUUUUUUUUUUUUUCCCUCCUAGUUCAGGGAGCAGACCUUGUAGGCUCCCCGCGGCACUUCCUUUCUUUGAAGCAUUGCGUUUGUUUUGUCAGAACCCACAAAGGUGUAAGUUGUGUAUUUUGACAAGGCUUUCAGAGAACUUUACCUAAUGGUGAUAGCUCUAGCAGGGCUCAUUAACGGGAAGAAGUAAUAAUGAGGCUCAGUAGUUAGUCCUUGUUCACUGGAGGUUUUUAAACAUUCUCACUUUUCCAGUUUCCCCCCAAAGCUUCACUGUAUAUGUGCUUAUUCUUCUGUAAUCAUACACGCAAAACAGAUAAAUCCGGAAGACUAUUGGAUAGCCUAUUCCACAAUGUGUUUGAAAUAACAAUAAUUUAAAACUUACACAUGAGCAUGAUAUUUUUUUUCUUUAGCUGGGGUGAAAACCCUCAAAAGAAAGCUUACAUACUGAUUUUUUUAAAAAGUGAACUCGGCUUUU